rfam:Schistosoma rodhaini strain Burundi genome assembly, scaffold: SROB_scaffold0001523
GCACUGUUGAGGAGUCCCAUAAUAGGACGAAAUGACUAUCCAGUGC